rnacentral:rRNA from 1 species
GGUGAACGCUGGCGGCGUGCUUAAGACAUGCAAGUCGAACGAUCGUCUUCUGACGGUAGUGGCGCACGGGUGACUAACGCCUAACUGACCUGCCCCCCAGUUCCGAAUAACCCUCCGAAAGGGAGGCUAAUACGGGAUGUACUCUCCCCUCCUGUGCGGCCAGUAAAUGCUUGACCGCUUGGGGCUGAGGUUGCGUUCCAUCAGCUAGAUGUUUGGGUAUAGGCCUACCAUGGCAACUAUGGCUAACCGGCCGGAGAGGGUGGCCGGGCACAGGGGCACUGAGACACGGGUGACACUCCUACGGGAGGCAGCAGUUAGGGAGCGUCAGCCAGGGACGAAAGUCUGAGGGGGCGGAGGCGCGUGAGGGAGUAAGGUAGUCGGUUCGUAAAGCUAGAAAACAGGGACGUAAGACGCGGAAGCGGGAUGACGGUACCUGAGUAAUAGCACCGGGUAACUUCGUG